UGAACAGCACGCCAGGCAAGUGGCAACCCUGAGCAUCAGGACUCGGCAAUCACAGAGAGGCUGGCAGCUGGCAUUAGCUGUGAAGCCUGGAGAAGAGAGAAGAUGCCCCUCCUUAUAGCUCUGGGGCUCUUGCUAGCUGGGAUCUGUCCUGAUGUUCUCUGCUACCGAUGUGGCACAUGGCAAGGCGACGAUGCAGUCCAUGAAGACCAAGAAAAUGGGACACAAGUGGACAGUCUAAAAUUGGUCUCCAGGAACACCGACUUUGCCUUCAGCCUCUACAAAAAGCUGGUUUUGAAGAAUCCAGAUAAAAAUGUCGUCUUCUCCCCAUUCAGCAUCUCUAGUACCUUGGCAGUCCUGUCCCUGGGAGCAAACAGCAA